GAUGAACGCUGGCGGCGUGCCUAAUACAUGCAAGUCGAGCGAACAGACGAGGAGCUUGCUCCUCUGACGUUAGCGGCGGACGGGUGAGUAACACGUGGAUAACCUACCUAUAAGACUGGGAUAACUUCGGGAAAGCGGAGCCAAUACCGGAUAAUAUAUUGCACCGCAAGGUUCAAUAGUGAAAGGCGGUUUUGCUGUCACUUAUAGAUGGAUCCGCGGCGCAUGAGCUAGUUGGUAAGGUACCGGCUUACCAAGGCAACGAUUGGUAGCCGACGUGAGAGGGAGUGCGGCCACUAUGGAACUAGGAGAAGGCCCAGACUAAAAAGGGAGGGAGGAGGAGGGAAUGUUACGCAUAGAGGGAAAACAUGAUGGAGCAACGCCGCGGGAGUGACGAAGGUCUUGGGAUCGUAAAACGCUGUGAUUAGAGAAGAACGACUGUGGAAGUAAGUUUGCACGUAUUGACGGUUCCUAAGCAGACGGCCACGGCCAAGUACGUG
rnacentral:rRNA from 1 species